rfam:Dipodomys ordii contig_33839, whole genome shotgun sequence.
UGGCUCAGUGGUAGAGCGCUUGCCUUGCAUGCAUGAGGGCCUGGGUUCGAUUCCUCAG